AUUACUUUUGUUACAUAGAAAAAAAGUGGAACUCUUAUUUUUUUUCCAAACUUUAUUAAUGGUAUUAAUGCAAUGUUGCCAACAUUCAUCUAUAACCACUCAUUACUUGAUUAACAAUGUAGCAAGGAUAGGCAAUCCAUUAAUGCUUUUUUUGUUUUGGCAGUGGCAGAAAAUGUGGAACUUGCUGUGAGUCACAUGCACAUCAGUCUCAUUCAGAAUCAGGACACAUGCUGAAUAUACUGUCUUCUGCCGCCUCUGGUUUGUAGGCUAUUGCUUUUCUGGCACAACUCACAUUCCCAUCAGCAUUAGUAAACUGAAACCGCCGAUAUAGCUGUAUUUACAUACAGCCAUAUUGCUCCUCCAGCGAUCACAAAGCAUGCAUCAAGUCAAGACACACACACACACUAUUCUUAGAGCAAAUAUUUUCCCCAUUGAUGGGCAAAAUAAUGACAAUCCUUGAGUUAAGUCUGUUAUUCUAUUCCAUUCAAACUUCGUUGUGCUUCAGGGACUGUUUUUAAGUUAUACCAAUGAUUAAGUUGCUAAACUGUCAUUUUUAACACAUACACAUUGUUGGCUCUGUUUCCAACCCGGCCCCAAUUUCCAUCCCUAUAUAAGCCUAUUUGUUGUGACCAUUCCUUGUUGUUCAUUUGUUGUUCCCUUCACAUGUGUUCUGUCUUUCAGACUCACCCAAGAGUGUUGUGUUUAUAACUUCAUAAUGUGUGACACCCAGGGGUCAUUGGAUGAUCACAGCAGGUGCUCCUGCACCUGAUUGUCUUGAUGUGACAGAAUGUGGCAGCCUACAUCAGAAGCGCAGAAGCCAAAAAAGUAAGCAGAGGAGAAGAUGGAGGACAGGCACCCUGGAUCGCGGUGAGUGCAGACGCCAGCGGGGAUCGCUGGAAGGUCGGCCCGGGGUGCGUGGCGGGAGCAGGAGUUCGCAGCCCCCAUUGUGGACACACAGGUUGGAGGAGCAGGACUUUGCAUCCCCCAUCAUGGACGUUCCGACCAGCAAGGAGCUCUGCAGCCAAGGAGCUCUGCAGCCUGCCAGCCAUCGGCUUUCCAUACAAGCACUGAGAAGAAGCCCUCUGGUGUUGCCCAUGAGAGCUGGUAUCCCAGGAGUCCCAAAUCCGGAGUCUUUUGCUCUUCUGAAGGUACCGCCCUGUUGUGUCUAGGACCACCUCCCUACCUGACACAUGCAUCCAGAAGGUACAGCCCUGCAUGUUGUGUAUCAUUCCCCGAGUGGUCCAGGAC
rnacentral:lncRNA from 1 species